rnacentral:RNase_P_RNA from 1 species
GUAGAGGAAAACUCAUCAGUGUGGCCACAACCUGAGUGUGUCAUGUCAUUCCCAACCCUGUCCCUUGGGAAGGUCUGAAGCUAGGGCCACCACCCAGAUUUUAAGUCUAAUCCUGAGGAGUGUUCCACACAGUUUGAGCUCUGGUUGUGCUUGUUUGCUGGUUGUUGGUGCUUGCUGCCAUUGUUUUACCCUGCUAUGGACCUAUAGAAGCAAACCAGCUUCUUCUGCUAU